GGGUCUAAUCAGAAAUGAUGAAUGGAUGAACACUAAUGGAAUUUUUGGAGAGGUCACUCUUUCAGGGGGCUAAGCAUCUUGAUUUGUGCAUCUUUAAGGGGUGUGGUACAGAGCCCAAAGGCAUUACCUAAGCUCACCUGCCAGGUGAUGGCCUAGUGGGAUCAUCGUGGACUUGGGCCAACAACUAGACACUGUUGAUGGCAGUUACACCUGUGCAGAUGCAAUGUAAGUUUAUAAUGGAAGUGGGUACUCCAUUCAUGGCUAAAAAGUCCUAUUUACAAGCCUCGUGAGUAAAGAGACAGCCAUACACUUUUGUUUUGAGAUAUGUACAUAUUUAUUUUUGUUUUUAUUUAAGUUUUAAAGCAAGCUGUAUACUCUUUAGAAAAUUUUUAAGGAAGUAGAAAUAUAUGAAGACUGAAACAAAAAUAAUUCUAAAUUCCUCAGCCCAGAAACAUUCACUGCUAAUGCUGUGGUAUACAGCAGACACUUGAAACUUGUGAGUGGACAUACUGAGCACAUGAAAAAUGGACACAUUCACCCAUCCCACCAUAGCCUAUAAGUCAUCUCUAAAGAUCGAGUAAAUUAUAGUGGAAAAUUUAAGUGCCCACUUCAGAGCACUAAAAAUUCCUUUUAAUUUUUUACUUGAUGAGUAAUUUUUGCAUUCUCUGGAAUACAGGCAGAAAAGUUUCAUGAGUUAGUUUUUGUCACUUUCAGGGUAGAAAAAAUGAUGAACUCAUUCAUCAGGCUCCCAACUUCCAUAAGAAGCAUCCCUCCAUCGCUGUUCUGCUCCUGCCACAGUCUCUCCACUUCCAUGACCAGCACUGGCUGAUUGGGUUCUAUCCAAACUCAUCACACUCUUUUUUUCUUUUUAAGAUUUUGUGAAAAAGAUGUCGUGUUUUCUUUUAAAUAAUUUAAAUCACUUUGCAGAGUGUUACUUGAUUUCGUAAUAAUAAAAUCCUUCUGACAAGUAGCUGCUGGUUGGCUGCCCUGUUACUCUAUGUAAAUUGAUCAUCCCUCCACACCAGAGUUAUACACUUAACAUCUCAAAUUCAUACAUCAGCAAUGCAACUGAUUUGUAUGUUUUAUGAACUUUGAGUUGCUCAUGAUUAGAAAAGUUACAUAUGCAUAUGUUAGAAUUUUAUUGUUUUUCUGUCUAGCCUUUUUCUCUCUAACUCUGUAUGUGGGGUGUUGUAUGUGUGAGUAUGGCUAUGUAUGUACAAUGUAUAUACAGUUCCUACAUGUUAUAUUCUUAAAUAUUGUCAGUGGAGCAUUUUUCCAGUUCAUUAUGAGUAUCCAUUUAUUGAUUUAUUUGUUUGUUGUAUAUUGUUUGUCUUACCCACCACAAAAUACACAUCAUCAGAACAUACACAUUUUACUGUUGUUCAUUGUUAUAUCCCCAGCAUCUAGAAUAAGUCCUGGCGAUAAUAGAUACUAAAUAAACAUUAGUUUAUUGAAUAAAUGAAUGGCUAAAAUAGCCACUGGAUAUAUAGUUUCUUUUCUUUUCUUUCUUUCUUUCUUCCUUUCUUUUUUUUUUUUUUUUUUUAGACAGUGUCUUGCUCUGUCACCCAGGCUGGAGUGCAGUGGCAUGAUCUUGGCUCACUGCAAGCUCCACCUCCUGGGUUCACGCCAUUCUCCUGCCUCAGC
ensembl:lncRNA